UACGUAGGGGGCUAGCGUUGUCCGGAAUCAUUGGGCGUAAAGCGCGCGUAGGCGGUCAGGUAAGUCCGGUGUGAAAGUCCAGGGCUCAACCCUGGGAUGCCGGUGGAUACUGUCGGGCUCGAGUCCGGAAGAGGCGAGUGGAAUUCCUGGUGUAGCGGUGAAAUGCGCAGAUAUCAGGAGGAACACCGGUGGCGAAGGCGGCCCGCUGGGCAGGAAGGUGGAGCAAUCCACCGGCUGACGCUGAGGCGCGACAGCGUGGGGAGCAAACGAGG
rnacentral:rRNA from 1 species